rnacentral:rRNA from 1 species
UACGUAGGGGGCUAGCGUUGUCCGGAUUUAUUGGGCGUAAAGAGCGUGUAGGCGCCAGGUAGGUCGGUUGUGAAAACUGGAGGCUCAACCUUCAGAGGUCGACCGAAACCAUCUGGCUAGAGUCCGGGAGAGGAGAGUGGAAUUCCUGGUGUAGCGGUGAAAUGCGCAGAUAUCAGGAGGAACACCGGUGGCGAAGGCGGGUCUCUGGGCCGAUACUGACGCUGAGGAGCGAAAGCGUGGGGAGCGAACAGG